rnacentral:rRNA from 1 species
AUGUCGCAAGCGUUAUCCGGAUUUAUUGGGCGUAAAGCGCGUCUAGGUGGUUUGGUAAGUCUGAUGUGAAAAUGCGGGGCUCACCUCCGUAUUGCGUUGGAAACUGUCAAACUAGAGUACUGGAGAGGUGGGCGGAACUACAAGUGUAGAGGUGAAAUUCGUAGAUAUUUGUAGGAAUGCCGAUGGAGAAGUCAGCCCACUGGACAGAUACUGACGCUGAAGCGCGAAAGCGUGGGUAGCAAA